rnacentral:rRNA from 1 species
GACGAACGCUGGCGGCGUGCUUAACACAUGCAAGUCGAACGGAAAGGCCCUGCUUUUGUGGGGUGCUCGAGUGGCGAACGGGUGAGUAACACGUGAGUAACCUGCUCUUGACUUUGGGAUAACUUCAGGAAACUGGGGCUAAUACCGGAUAGGAGCUCCUGCUGCAUGGUGGGGGUUGGAAAGUUUCGGCGGUUGGGGAUGGACUGGCGGCUUAUCAGCUUGUUGGUGGGGUAGUGGCUUACCAAGGCUUUGACGGGUAGCCGGCCUGGGAGGGUGACCGGCCACAUUGGGACUGAGAGACGGCCCAGACGGCUACGGGAGGCAGCAGUGGGGAAUAUUGCACAAUGGGCGGAAGCCUGAUGCAGCGACGCCGCGUGCGGGAUGACGGCCUUCGGGUUGUGAACCGCUGUCGCCUGUGACGAAGCGUGAGUGACGGUAAUGGGUAAAGAAGCACCGGCUAACUACGUG